CCCAAAUCUCUGAAUGUGACUUUCACGUGUGCAGUUUAGUAUAACAUGUAGAUUUCUGUACUUUAAAAAGAACAGGGAAAAAUCCUAACUAAAUUUCAGCAAGUCUGUACUUACAGGCUAGGAUCUUUCUUUGGACCCACUCUUAAAUCUUUGUCUUCUCCAAGAAUGUUACCCCUCGAAGCUCUGGCCUCUAAAAGUUCAUAAUUUAAAGCCACAGGGUUCAAGUUCUGUAAAAUAAGUGGAUCACGAUUAUUAGGCAAGUCAUUUACCUCACCUAUAAAAAGGAUAUAGAUAGUAAUUUUUGGUGAAAGGAUUGUUGUGAGGAUUAAUGGUAAACCAUUGCCUGGCCCGUUGUAUGCCAUGUGUGACAGUGACCUGCUUUAUUUCCUCUUUCUAUUCCUUCUGUGUUCUGUUGUAACCAUGGUUUUCUUUCUUUUCUCAGUGUCCUGAUGUACAGGCUCUUUGAAACUGUAAUCUUAUCUGGGCUGCUGGGUAGAGGAUGGAAGCCUUUUCUCUUGGGAUUUAGUCAGGAUUGCAUAUGCUGGAAGAAAAUGGAAUUUUACAGCAAGGAGUGAGAAGAAAAGAUGUGGAGCGGACUGCUGCCUCCUGGCCUAAAUGAAAGUGAUAUUGAGUCGAAUUCUGAAGAUGAGGCCACAUCACAGAACUUUGAUCAUAACUUACAGGAAGAUAAAGAGGCUGGGACCAUUAAAGACACAGAAGUCUCAGAUUUGUCAGCAGAUGGACCAAAAAUUGAAACAGAGGCCAAGGCAAAUGCAUAUGAAGAGUGCCCUUCUGGAAUUCCCUUAAAUAUGUGGAACAAAUUUCAAGAAUUGCAUAAGAAACAUUCUGAACAGAAAACUGCGGCCUCAAGAUUCAAAGUGAGAAAGAGAAAACGCUCCAGAAAAGGUAAAUUGAAGAAUGAAAAAGAAUCUCGUAGUGAGCAGUCCCUAAAUGAAACCCAGUGGAAGGAGCUUACUCAGUAUUUUGGAGCCAAUGAUAGAUUUGAACCCCCUGUUAAAAAGAAAAAGGUUGAAAAGUCUGGCCUUGAAAAGAGGAUAGACCAGGCUGUGGAGGAGUGGGACGUUGAGAAGGCUGAGGAGCUCAGCAACCAGCUAGCUACUCGAGAGGUAAGCCAGCCUGAUUACACUUUAUCUGUUUCUCAUUUUUUCUAAAAUGAAUCUUCAUUCUUUUUAUGAUCAUUAAUAAAUUCAAUAUUAAAAUAUUUGAUGUGAGAUUUUCCUUUUUGCCCAUUUUUUUGCUGCUUA
rnacentral:lncRNA from 1 species